rnacentral:rRNA from 1 species
UACGGAGGUUCCAAGCGUUGUUCGGAUUUAUUGGGCUUAAAGGGUGCGUAGGCGGCGUAUUAAGUCGGGUGUGAAAUCUCGGAGCUUAACUCCGAAACUGCAUUCGAUACUGCUGUGCUUGAGGACUGGAGAGGAGACUGGAAUUUACGGUGUAGCGGUGAAAUGCGUAGAUAUCGUAAGGAAGACCAGUGGCGAAGGCGGGUCUCUGGACAGUUCCUGACGCUGAGGCACGAAGGUCAGGGGAGCAAACGGG